rnacentral:rRNA from 1 species
CGCUGGCGGCAUGCUUCAGACAUGCAAGUCGAACGAGAUCUUCGGAUCUAGUGGCGCACGGGUGAGUAACGCGUGGGAACCUACCUUUCAGUUCGGGAUAACAGUUGGAAACGACUGCUAAUACCGUAUACGCCCUCCGGGGGAAAGGUCAGCCGCUGAAAGAGGGGCCCGCGUCUGAUUAGCUUGUUGGUAGGGUAAAAGCCUACCAAGGCUACGAUCAGUAGCUGGUCCGAGAGGAUGAUCAGCCACACUGGGACUGAGACACGGCCCAGACUCCUACGGGAGGCAGCAGUCGGGAAUAUUGGACAAUGGAGGAAACUCUGAUCCAGCAAUGCCGCGUGUGUGAUGAAGGCCCUAGGGUUGUAAAGCACUUUCAACGGUGAAGAUGAUGACGGUAGCCGUAGAAGAAGCCCCGGCUAACUUCGUGCCAGCAGCCGCGGUAAUACGAAGGGGGCGAGCGUUGUUCGGAAUUAUUGGGCGUAAAGGGCGCGCAGGCGGUUUGGAUAGUUAGACGUGAAAGCCCUAGGCUUAACCUAGGAACUGCGUUUAAUACUGCCAAACUAGAGAACUAGAGAGGAUAGCGGAACUCCCAGUGUAGAGGUGAA